GACCCUGGCCCAACCACUGUGAAGUUGGACUGGGGCAUAAAUAAAGUAGCAUGCUUGUAGGCCAACGUUUCUCCUCAUUGAUCCAAUUUCUUGUUUUCCCAACUAGGUCCUUCUUCACUGGUCCGGUCUUAUGACUCUCAGCGGCCCACCUGGAAAGCAUGACGGGUUGUUUACUCCCGCCAUGAAGGACACAAAUCCCCCCAGGAGGCCUUAGGAAGCCUGACGGCCCACACGUACGUUCUGGGUGGCUUUUUCCAACCAGACGUUCAGUCGGGUUUACCACACAGGGUGAUGGGGGGCGGCGGGCGGAUUCAGGAGAGCUGGCCUUACAUGUUGAGAGCAUUGUGUUUCGGCACAUAAACCCUCCAGAGGAGGCUGAUGGAGGAGGUAAGCAAAGUCUCCUGGUUGCGCUUUCCAAACAACGAAGCUUUGAGCCUUCUUCUCCCUUAGUGGUAAAGCUUCUUUGUUCCCCUCACCUCCCUUGGACCCAUCCGUACGGCGUGCACCCCUCUGCGAACAGACACACACCUUCCUGUUGUUCAAUUAUUCUUGGCACCGCUCAUAUUUCUCCUCGUUAGCCCUCAAAGACAGCGAAGAAAGAUCAACACUCACUUGGACUUUAAAAGAAAAAAAAAUUGUCCAUGAAGGAGGGAUCAGGAGAGAGAGAGCACGCCGGGAUGAAAGAUAUCUUGGGCGUGGUGGAACCAACCUCAUCAUCUCCGGACUCACCCAAAAAUGCUUUUUGUGGUUUGGCACCCUCUGUGUCACUGCUGUGGUUGGUUUUCAUUGUUGCUCCAUCAUCCUUCAAGCCCUGGUGGCACCUGAGGAGACUCCAGGAGCAGUCACAGGCUACCUGAUCACCUUAUUUUCCCCUUUCCUUGAGCUGGAAGUGGCAAAGCAAGAUGAGAGAGAGAGAGAGAGAGAGAGAGAGAGAGAGAGAAAGUUCCCUCAGGGAACAUGGGUACGAGAAGCUCAAAAAACUCCUGUCUCUUUUAACUUUUUGCGCAAACCUCAACCCGGCUGACAUUCAUUCCAAGAAAUUUGUUUUCAUUCACCGGAGAACUUAAUUAGCCAUGGAAGACACUCUAAUUAUUCUCUUUAAAGCCCCCGCAAAAUGUGAGUCCCAGCCAAAUGCUUGUUCUGUUGUGCCUAAAGUAAACAGUUAAAAAAAAUUAAAAAGGGAAAAAGAGAGGAAAAAGCUGAGCUAAUUUUUCUCUUUUUUCUGUCAAUUCUUUUCCAGUUCAAAAAUUUGGAGAUCAAACGGGCCUGCAGGAAGCAUCGACAGAGAUGUGGUAUUAUUCUUUCUUCCCAAUUUAAAUGAAAUGUUUCCCAAGAGAACGGACGGCCAAGCUUUGAACAAGUACCUGCUCGCGCACCAAAUUUUGGAAUAAGACUCAACACAGGAAGACUAAGAACAUUUUUAAGUAUUAAUUUUAAGCAUCCUUGUAGUGUUAACCCCCCUAAAUUUUAAAAAUUGCAUUUUAAAAACUGCUUUCAGAAUCAUAAAUCUUAGCUAUGGUGUUCAAUACAGGUCGUGUUUCGUUAGCAAUGGGGAUUCUUUAAGUGCUGACAGUGUCUGAUUGUCGCUGCUCGAGCUUUCCUCGCCUCCCGUAGCUUGCAAACCCGCUGGCUUUGUUCUGAUAUUGCACACGGCAAGGUAGACAAUGGCUGUCAUUUGCAAUGCUGAUGGCUCGGACAGGAAGCUCCGCCUGAAUGAUGUCUCUAGGACACUAAUAUGGUUUCAGCUUGGAAUGAUGUGUAGCUCGCCUACAUAAGAUAGUUCUCACCUCCCCCCCCCCCCUUCUACAAAAUGUCUCAUCAUCUUGAGUAACUCCAUGGCAGGUAGGCUAACUAAGCAGUCUAUCUUCAUUGUUCUUCAGUCUGGAUGAUCUCCCCAUAAUGUGCAGAAGUCUGUGGAGGUGUGGGCGAAAAGGUCGUGCCGUUUAAAAUUCGCACGGAUUUGCGGCACAAAGCAAACCCCGACGCCUGAGGACUCAGCUGCUAGCAUGCCACAGCAUCUUGCAAAUCUUGACUGACCUUCUCUUUGGAGUUUAGAAAAGCAGAGCUGGAUGGUGGCCUCUCUGCUGAUAGCCCAAACUGGAAGCGUUAUUUGUGUGGUCUACUGAGGCCAGGAUGCUGGCUGGGGGAUUCUGGGCUAGCUUUUACAAGCACUUUGCGACCCGCUGGCCUAGCCCCAAACUGUAAAGCUCUUUCUUUGACCUUUUCCAUGGCCAAUGGUUGCCUGUGAUGGAAUGGACUGUACUGUGCUCUAAGCCAAUGAAGAGAGAUGGCUGGGGCCACUCUGCCUGGCCUGCUGCCCUCCGUAAGCCUCCGAUCAAGCCAGUGGCUGAUUUUUAACCCAAGUGACUUCAGAGAAAUGUGUAAGUAUUCAGUAUUGGUAAGACCACAGGGACUAGUUUAAUACUAGCUGCUUUAUAUCGGCUCAGUCUGUUGGCUCACUUACCCGUGCAUUGUCUUAUUUUGACAGGCGGUGUCUCUCUCUGGGGGUUUCAACCUGAGCCUUCCCCCACCCCCACCCCAGACCUACCUGGAGAAGUCAGGAAUUGAACUACCCCUGAGCCAUGUCCUCGCUCUGAGUGGGUUUUCCAGGUGUUUGGAAGCAAGAUGGUAUUUUUAUUAUUUGAUUUCCUUUCCUCGGUCAGCCCGCAGUCGAUUUGAAAACACACAAGUGCCCUCUGUCGUUCAAAGGGAGACUAGCGCCUCUACGUACAUGUUUCCAGAAUUUUAUUAAUAUUUUUCUAAAACUUCAAUAACUGCUGAAUAAAUUAAUACCUGUUGUGACUUUGUUUGGGUUU
ensembl:lncRNA